CUAGCUUUGAGUGAAAAAUGCUAAGGUAUAUUGCCCAGGCCGAGUUCAAGCUCUAGUACUGUGUGCAUAUGCACACAUGCAUGCACACACACACAUCAUUCCAAUGGGAAACCACUAGAUUAUCAGUGAUCUUUUUUAGUAAUAUCUAGGAUAACAUGGACUAUCUCAACCAUAUGCAAUACACAUCUACAACUAAAAAAUACUUCUGUUCAGAUCAUGAGAAGACUGAGAGAAGAAACAUAAAGCUUAAACUGAAAAAAAAAAAGACUAUCACUGAAAAUGUGGAAUUUUCAGAGAGCAAAAUGGGUAAUCUUUAAGGAUUUGCUGAGAACUUAAGGAGAGAAGUGGUGAAGGUAGAGUAGUUAUAGCAGUAUCUGGAAAUAUCACAGGCCUAGGUGAAUUUUAAGGAUGUCUAGAGAAUAUUAUACAUUUAGUGUUAACAGUACAGAAUAUUUGGAGAACGAGAGCAGCCCUCUGAAAGCUGUCAUAAUCCCAAUUAAUGGAAAGGAUGGCAAAUUUUGGCAAGUGAUAUAGAAAGAACAGUCAAUUUGAUAACCAAAGCUGAUGUAGAUUUUAAGUGAGCACUCUCUUCAAUAGAACAGUACAAUAAUGUAAGUUCACCUUUGGAUUCUUGCCCUCUUUGGCCAGUAAUGCUCGAAGUCUUUCUUGUGAAGGUGGCGCAAUAAAGAUAAUAUAUGGUUUCAAAUCUGAAUUCCGGAGGGUCUUCAAAGACUGUAAAGAAAAGAUAUUUGUACUUUAAAAAAUAAAUUGCUUUUUAAAAAUAAUUUCUAGCUAAUUACUUUU